rnacentral:rRNA from 1 species
UACAGAGGGUGCAAGCGUUGUUCGGAAUCAUUGGGCGUAAAGGGCGCGUAGGCGGCCCGCUAAGUCGAACGUGAAAUCCCCGAGCUCAACUCGGGAACUGCGUCCGAUACUGGCGGGCUUGAAUCCGGGAGAGGGAUGCGGAAUUCCAGGUGUAGCGGUGAAAUGCGUAGAUAUCUGGAGGAACACCGGUGGCGAAGGCGGCAUCCUGGACCGGCAUUGACGCUGAGGCGCGAAAGCUAGGGGAGCAAACGGG